GGGCCGGUAGCUCAAUGGUCAGAGCAGGCGACUCAUAAUCGCUCGGUCGUGGGUUCGAUUCCCACCCGGCCCACGA
rnacentral:tRNA from 1 species